rnacentral:rRNA from 1 species
GACGAACUGUGCAAACGUUAUUCGGAAUCACUGGGCUUAAAGGGUGCGUAGGCGGUCUCGUAAGUAGGGUGUGAAAGCCCCCGGCUCAACCGGGGAACUGCGUUCUAAACUGCGAGGCUUGAGUGAGGCAGGGGUGUGUGGAACUUCCAGUGGAGCGGUGAAAUGUGUUGAUAUUGGAAGGAACGCCGGUGGCGAAAGCGACACACUGGGCCUUGUCUGACGCUGAGGCACGAAAGCCAGGGGAGCGAACGGG